CCGGCCUUGUGCCAUCUCACUGGCCCUAGAUGGCAGCUGGGGCCAAGCAUCCUCUUCUCCCAUAGCUGUGUCCAAGGCAGGAAGCAAGGAGCACUGGGCAGCACUGGCAACCGUCCUUAGGGGAGAAAAUCUCCCUGCAGCGCCCGUGCAGUGAACUCCCUUGGGGUGUCCUACUGGUCAGAACCAGCUGAUGUGCUCAUCUUGGACCAAUCCCUGGCAGACCAGGAUAGGUAUGUCAUGAUUGGCUAGAUCAAUCACAUUCAUUCCCCGGGGGCAGGGCAAAGUGUGAUUAAUGCAAAUCAGGGUUCAGCUAGCCCAGAAGAAGGGGGUGACCAUCGGGUAGACACCAAUGAUGUCCACAGGAGACUGACACUUACUGAGCAGAUACAGAGAGCCAGUUUCUGUCUUAAGCUCUUUGCAUAUAUUAUCUCAAGUCCUCAUGGUGUUAUUUAUGAUGAACGAUUAGAAGCCCAAAGAACUUAAGUGACUUACCCCAAAUCACCUCAACAGGACAGGAGAAACCUGGAUUCAAAUGCAAGCUCCUCAUACCCACUGUCAACCCCAGUAGGUAGGGUUACCAGGUAAAAUACAGGAUGCUCAGUUAAGUUAGAAUUUCAGAUGAAGAAAGAAAAUAUUUUAGUACAAGUAUGUCUAAAUGUUACAUGGGACAUACUUAUCCUAAAAGAAAUUUUGUUGUUGAUCUCCACUUCAAAUUUAACUGAGCAUCCUAUAUUUUUACUUGCUAAAUUUCACAAUCCUACUAGAGCCCCCAGGAAGGAAAUCUAAGUUGGGGUGGGGCUCAGCCAUGUUUGGCUGGUAUAGUAAACACCAAGGAAUAGUCUUCAGUUCCACAAAGAUAUAAGCACUCUCCCAUUUUUCAGGACACCUGACCCCCUCUUGGAUUAUUGUUAUCCUCUUUCUGAGAGAAAUACGAGUAUGGAGAGAAUGUCCCUGCUCUCAGGAAAACAGCUGUGUAUGCAUGGUGAUAAAUGGCAACUGGGAUCUGGCCUGAGGACUAGGGAAGCAGUAGGGAGAAGUGGGGAGUGGGGAGAACCAGAGCAUCCCUUUCAAACCCUCCCCGGCAGAUGGUAGGCCCAGCCCAGUCAAAUCCUCCAGUGCUUUAAAGGAGGUAGGGAUCUGGGUUUUUAUGUAAAACAUCCCUUGAUUUGUGAUCAUUGGCUCGAAUUUUAUUGAAAUGCCAUGUGGGCCAAAGGAAACAUAUCUGCAGGCUUGUGGACACCCAGGGGGAAAAAAAAAAUCUCUGCUGUUAAGUUUGAAAGAGGAGACCGCAAGAGGAGAAGCAGCCCUGGCAGCUGGAGAGUGCAGCCAGACCUAGGUUCCAGUCUCUUCCCUUCCAGAGAACUGCUGUGUGACCGUGGGUGGGUUGCACAACCUCUCUGUUUUCUAAACCGUGUAGAGGAUGUGAUCACACGCAACCAUCUCACUGUGUAGCUGUGAGGCUUCCACGGGACAAGCUGACAGAGGUGAAGUGCCUGGUACCUAGGGAGUGGGUGCUAAUCCUUUCCCUUCCCUGGGAAGGGCUCACACCAAGUUCACUUCAAAGAUGACUUUUUUUUCCCAAGUUCUUUCUCCCUUCCUCUCUCCCUUUUCCCCUUCCUCUCUCCCUCCUACUUCCACCUCUUUUCCUCCUCCUCCUUUUUCUGCUUUUUAAAUUAAACGGUGUGAAGAUUUAGGGCCAGGUGUCAGGAGACCUGGACCAGGCCCUGGCUCUAUUCCAACCUCGGAGUGAGACGUUGGGGGAAGGGUCUCUUCCGUGCCGGGUCUCAGUUUCUCCCUCUGUGAAAUGGGCAGCUUUGAGCGGAGAUGCAGAAGGUCUUCCGGGUGCCAGGGUCACGCAGUUCUGUGGAGCCUUAGCACGGAGGCACGAGGGGAGGGCUGGCGGCCUCGGUGGGGAUGGGAGGGGUGGCUGAGUCAGAGGCACUCUCCGUGCUGGGAGCAAGGGAACCGAGCAGCAGACGGUGCCCGGUGACCUGCAAGCCACAGGAAGGCAGCAGCCUGUGUCAUCAAGGAGCCUGUAAACACCCUCCAAGGAGAGCAAGGUCCCUGCUUGUCUUGGAUCCGACCACAGGCCCAUCCCAGGGAUUUGGGGGCAGAGCUCUUAAUAAAUCAUCCUGCCCAGAACGUGGAAGCCUGGAGCCAUCCCCCGGGCUUUCUGAGAUCUGACCUCUGCUGACCUCUCCCACCCACCUCCCUCUUGCCAGGCCAGAGAUUGAGACUCCCCGCCAUCUGUGAGCGGUGUUGAAGGGCUUGUCCCUUUGCUCCGUCUGCCCUCUUCUGGAGGGUGGGGACUGGGAGGGCCACUUCGGCUGGUCCAGCCCAUUCACCGAAUGAACGAAUGCAUGAAUGAAUGAAUGAAGCUCUCAGGAGGGUUCCAGAUGUUUGGUCAACCUUUAGCUGAGUUCAUGGACAUGCAGAAUGAAAAUGGCUUUCCCCAGCUCCCCUAGAAGGGAGGUGCAGCCGUAUCACCGAGUUCCAGCCAACGCGUUGUAACAGGGAGCGUGUUUGGCAGUUUCUGAAACCCUUCCUGGAGAUUUAGCUGUGGCUACCCUUUACCCGUCAUCUUCCCUUCUUCGUCCUGCUGCCUGGAAGGCAGACGAGAAGGCUGGUGCUGUGGCCUCCACCUUGGAUCGUGAGAAGGAGGGUCACACCCUAGGGAUGGCAGUCAUGAAUGAGAAGGAGCCUGGGACGGCACUGAGAGCUUUGGGGAGUCUCCAAACCAGCCCUGAACUGCCUACAUCUGGACUUCAUUCACACAAGUGAAAAACUCUUUUGUAUAUUGUUGAUUUUUUCAAAUUAAGUUUAGUAUAUUUUAUUAUGACUACAUAUGUAGGUCCUAGCGGUACACUCUAAUGAAAAAUGUCAGCUACAACACAUGCUGCAUUUUUUUUAUUUUAAAAUGUGCUUGAGGGGCCCUGGGUGGCUCAGGGGUUGCCCAUCUGCCUUUGGCCCAGGGAAUGAUCCUGGGGUCCUGGGAUCGAAUCUCGCAUCGGGC